rnacentral:lncRNA from 1 species
UUUUUUUUUUUGAGUCAUAAAAUCAUUUUGGCUCUUUAAGAGGAAAAAAAAGAGGGUUUCAGAAAAAAGGAGGUGUCAUUUUUCAAAAACAAAGGGGGUGCUAACAGUAAACGGUGCUGCUGCUUGAUUCUUUAGGCACACUACCUACCUUCGAAAACUUAUAUAUGUGUUAUACAGUUCAGACUUAAAUCCACUGAUACAACACUGUCUAUAUUCAGACUGAAGAACCAACGUCAGCAAGAUGAGAAGGGAUCCCAAGCCAAGUCAUAAAACAAUGAGCCCUGAGCUCUUCCUCUGCUCUAUGUACAAAAGCACUUUACAUCAACUAUUAUGUAAUCUACCUCUAUGUUAAAGUUUAGACUAUGUGAUUUUCUAAUGUGAAAUGCGAUCACUAUGUAAACUAAACCUACGGACCGCUUAAGUAAACUAUGUAGUUGAUCCAUGUUCACACUGUUAUUUGUCUGCUCCAACCUAAAUUCCAUGUUAUUUUAUUUAAACCACAACAUGUUAUAAUCCACAGGUUCCAAAAGCAUAUAAACUAGGAGAAUGCUCUGCACGUUGCUGCGGGAAUUACCAGUAAAAUUAUACUAUCAUAAUAUAUGUUAGUGGAUGAUUUUUAGUAUUCUAGCAUAAAAUGAUUUGGUUUGCUAAUGUGAAUAACAUAGAUGCAAGAUAAAUGAUAUGUGUUAGUUCAAUUUAUUAGUGGAUAAUGAUGUGAACACUUUGCAUGGUGGGGUAAUGUAUUAGUGGGAUGAUUUAGUGGAUGUUGAUGUGGACGCUUUGCAUAGCAAUAGAGAUUAGUUUAUGGGAUGCUCAAGUGGAUGAUGAUGUGGAUGCUUUGCAUGUCAAGAGAAUUAGCUAGUGGGGUUUAUCUAUAUAAGAGAUAUAGAUUACAUAGCAAAUCGAAGCAUUCAUGCACACGGACGCGCGCCUAGUGGGGUUUAUCUAUAUAAGAAAUAUAGAUUACAUAGCAAAUCGAAGCAUUCAUGCACACGGGCGCGCGAAGGCGCGCACCCUGCCACUAGUAGUAAACAUGGACGGUACAAAUGUAGCCUAAAUAGCACUUCUGAUCAGCUCUACAACACACAGAGUUGCAACCACCAAGUAUUCAAACAUAGUGAUAAUGAUUUGUCAAGAGUUGUUAUGUUUGUUGUUGUCUUCAGUAGAAGAGAAGUUUCUGAAAAGUGCAGUGACGCACUGAACAGAGCUCGAGAGAUUGAAGUGUUUAUCCCAUCUUGUUUCAUGAUUAUAAGUUUUGGACAAGCAAUUCAAAUUCAAUAUGAUUUCACUUUAUAUCUUUGUGAUGGCUGUCAUCAAUUACAAAAAGGAGAAGAUUGAUAGCCCAAGUUUGAUUUUGGUAAUUAAUGGCACCAAGUUACUAAUAACAUUGUGUUAAAGUGGUUUGAGUUAGGCAUAGCAAUACGAGUAAUGAAGGAGUAAAGUGGCAUAGAAUGAUGAUCACAUGCAUGAUCACAAAGAGAUGGAUCAUGAACAUGUAAAUGAAGAUCAUGGUGAUCAAGCACUUGGAGAUGGACGAGGAGUAAAGUGAUCAAGGCAAAGGUAUAACCAUAGGGUUUUGCUUUUUUCGGUCUAAGAUGAGUAGAGAAGUGAUUGACCGGAUUUAGGAUAGAUAGCCGACUAUCAAGAGGGAAAAUCACGAUCAUCUCAUGAAUCAAAUGCUACUGGGUCAACAUCUUGAGUAUAUGCAUUAGGAUCUAGCAGAGUGCUAACAUAACUCCUUUGAAGAAAAUAUUUGUGAAAUUACUAACACACAUGCACAUGGUGGUGUUAGCACAUUUGCAAAGGAGGUGAAAUUUGAGGGGUAGAUAGGGUUUGGAAUCCUCUCCCGCUCCCGUCGAGCUCAGCGGGAUUCAGUGUUUCCGUGGAAAUAGAAUGCCUAUUUUACAUUACGCCGGAGGAAAGUUUCGGCGAAGUCGCGCGAGUGUUUCUCACUGAGAAACACUCAUCAGACGCUGGGUUAGACAGCAUCGAACGCUAAGGCCGUGUCCGACGAGUGUAGCAUAGGCAGGCGAAUUUUGGUUUGCACAUCGGAGUGUCCGAUGCCUCGAUGUCGGAGCGUCCAAUACUCGUGGGCAUAGUGGCGUGUUUAGGCACGUGUGCAUCUAAUGCUGGGUGUGUUUGAUGCCUGAGCGUUGGACGUGUCCGGUGCUAGCUUGAAGGUUUUUAAACCUUACUAAGUAGCGUCCGGUGUGAGGUGGCCCGUCCGACGUGCGCUUUAGUUGUUCGGUGAGUUCUUAGUUAUCGUUGAGGUUCAACGGUUCACAUUCAAAGAGUGACAUGUGGUAGAGAUCUAACACGCGUGGCAGGCGAUGGGCCGUGUCCGAUGGAAAAGCGUCAGCGUUUGAUGCCCCCAAGUUUGUUCCUAAUGGCUAACCCUUGAGUGAAAUAUUAUAAAUAGAAGGUGGUCGGGUUUAGGGAGCUUUCUCUUACCAAUCCGAAUACUUGAGGCAUACUUUGAGCUAGAGAACACCCUCUCCACUAAUCUUCUUGCUUGAUUGCUCAUCUUAGUGAGAUUUAGUGAGAUCCAAGUGUAUUGCAUUGAGAGUUGCAUCUAGUGGCACUUGAUCCUUGAGUUGGCUGCGGUUUUCUUGCUAUUCUUGGGUGUUUCCCGACACCCUAGACGGCUUGAAGCAGCGGUGGUGUUGGACUCGUGAUUGGAAAUUGUUUCGAGCCUCACUAAGUGAUUUAUGAGAGAGUUUUUACCCUUUCCCACGGAAAAUUACAAUUGGCUACUCUAGUGGAUUACUCAUGGCUUGAAGCAUCCCUAUCUUGUGAGUGGAUGUGCGGCACCCGCUGAAGUUUUUACUUUGGAUUGCCAAUUAGCUCAUGAUCCAUCAAGUGGGUGUAUCGUCACAACAAGAACUAGCUUACAGGAAAGCAAGUGAACCUUAAUAAAAAUCGUGUGUCAUCUCUUGCCGAGGAUUUCAUCUUGUGUAUACAAUUGUGAUUGAUUCUUGAUUAUACCUCUACUCUUCAACUUCGGUAUAAGGAUCCUCACUCACUCUUUUAGUUACUUGCUUACCUUGCUAGUAGUUUAGCUUGUGUAGUUUUGUUUCUAGGUUAAGGAGUAGAGCUAGAUGUUGUGCCUUGUUGUUUGUUUGUGUUUAGCCUUGUACUAGACUUGUGUAGGUGGCUUGCAUAGCUUAAUUGUGCUAGUGCUAGAAUUGCUUCGCCAUUGGUUUUACUAACAUACUUGUUUAGUUGAGUUCGUAGAAUUUAGGCUAUUCAACCCUCCCCUCUAGCCAUUUAGACCUUACACAUGGCCAGCUGAAAAUGGCUGUGCCGCGGCCCACAGGCUAUGCCUCGGGGCGAAGGCUAGAAACGAGCACGACAUAGGCACAAUGAUCCUGAGGCACGACUUUGAGCUGGGUCGGCAUAGCCCGACAUGGCGACGGGCUAGGCUGAUACAGCCCGUUGGACAUAUAUACGUAUAGCUAAGCUAUGGCCACAACAGACCGCCAAUGGAGCGCAUCCAUCCAUAAUAAGAGUCCAUACUCCGGGCAACACGAUCUGUGCAAAUAAAAGAAAUCAAAGCUAAUAAGAGCAUCUCCAGCAGUCCCCUUUCCUAACCCCUAAUGAGAAAAAGCUAUUAUUUUGAAGUUCUCGUAACUCCAACAGUUCACCAAACCUAAUCCCAAUGAUUUUUUUUCUCAGUCCCUCAGAUCCUAGCCACCCACUCAAAUAAAGGAGAGACUUUUCGUCCAAUUUACUAUUUUUCUUAUUGAGGAUUGAAUUUUCUCAUUCUGCUAGAGAGAAGACCUUCAAAACCCCAAAACAUGUUUGUAUCUCUCCUAGUUUUUGAGUUCAAGUUUUCUCCAACUGCCGGAGAUGCUCUAAGGACAUCAUUAGCACCGUGUCGCAUCUUCAUCUUGUUCGGCAUUAGCAACGACACAUCUUGUUUACCGUAACAGUAAAAAAAAACAUGCAUGCAUGAGCGAACGGCGAACAUCUUGUUUGUUACAAAUAUAUACACUGUGAUUUAUUUAGAUUCCAAAGUUGAGGUCCACUUCAGUUCUCUGACUCAUCAGUGUCGCUCCUCUCAGGUUCUGCUUCCCCUCCGUUUGCGGCGGGCUCUUGAACACCAGGCUGCUUGGCUGCACGAGCUACUGGAGGUUUCUUACGAUCACCACCUUCUUCACCUCCUAUCACACUGGCGUUCUGAUCUAUUGAUAGUCAAGGAAAAAUACACAUUUACAGAGAAUUUGCAAAAAGAAGAAAAAGAAGAGCUUGAAACAAACUUAUAGACAGAGAAUCCGUCAACCAACAAACCAAAUGCAUAUUGACUUACGGAUGUUAUAAGCCACCAAUCCAGAAGCAUAACUAGUGUUUAAGUGUAUAGCUUUCAAAACAUCUAUCUGAAGCCACUACACUGACAAGAUUCAAAGAAACACAUCAUUACCCUUGUCAAAGAGGGAGGGUAAUCCAAUACUCCAUGUAGAGUAGCCAAAUAAUACUGAGAAAACCUAAGAC